CGCCGGUAUGGCAGUAAACGGGGGGGGGCAACUUGCAGACAUGUUCUCUUCAGUUAGCAGCCUCGUUAUCCACCUGCACGUGCUCCUGGCUCACCAUUCAAUGCCGCCAUCUUGGCUGCUGACUGUCUUGACUGAUGGCUACGUCGACCAAUCAGAUGAAGUUUAGGUCAGGAGUCAGGCAGCUUGCUCAGCCAAUAGAUAACCCUAACCCGACACAAGCAGCAGGGCCUUGUACUCAGUGUGUGUGUAUUGGGAGAGAACACAGAGGUGUGGAUAGAGUGGGAUUUGGCCUACUGAUGUGACAUCCCUGCGGCAUACAUAUCUGUCUGUCUAGAACUUAAUUGCGCAUAACAGGGUUGAGGUUAUACAAGCAUUAAAAAUGCAAAAAAUAAUGGCAAGUAUGGUUUUGAAUAGAAAACCCUUUUAUUACGGAUACACCAUUCAAAUAAAACUCUGAACAAUCCAUACACACACUGUCUAAAAACAGACACUCCAUUUUUUGAUAAAACAUUGAUAAACAGUGGCACAAAAUAUAAAGACAGAAAAAGUAAGGCAAGUUCUUUAC